GAGGAUAUAGCUCAGUGGUAGAGCGCGUGCUUAGCAUGCAUGAAGUCCUGGGUUCAAUCCCCAGUACCUUCA
rnacentral:tRNA from 1 species